AGUGAACGCUGGCGGUAGGCCUAACACAUGCAAGUCGAACGGAAACACAAUAAGAGCUUGCUCUUACGGGUGGCGAGUGGCGGGCGAGUGAGAAAUACAUCGGCAACUACUUUUUCGUGGGGGAUAACGUAGGGAAAGUUACGCUAAUAGCUAAUACGACCUACGGGUGAAAGCAGGGGAUCUUCGGACCUUGCGCGAUAGAUAGAGCCGAUGUCGGAUUGGAUAGUUGGCGGGGUAAAGGACCACCAAGGCGACGAUCCGUAGCUGGUCUGAGAGGAUGAUCAGCCACACUGGAACUGAGACACGGUCCAGACUCCUACGGGAGGCAGCAGUGGGGAAUAUUCGACAAUGGGCGCAAGCCUGAUCCAGCCAUGCCGCGUGGGUGAAGAAGGCCUUCGGGUUGUAAAGCCCUUUUGUUGGGAAAGAAAAGCAGCAGGUUAAUACCCCGCUGUUCUGACGGUACCCAAAGAAUAAGCACCGGCUAACUUCGUG
rnacentral:rRNA from 1 species